rnacentral:tRNA from 1 species
GGAGCGAUAGCCCAAUUGGUAGAGGCGCUCGUCUAGAAAACGAGUCUGAAAAGACACCUGACUUCCUCACUCGGACGAAGAAAACUUUUCCGCUGCU